rnacentral:rRNA from 1 species
AUGCACGCUGGCGGCGUGCCUCAUACAUGCAAGUCGAGCGAACGGACGAGAAGCUUGCUUCUCUGAUGUUAGCGGCGGACGGGUGAGUAACACGUGGAUAACCUACCUAUAAGACUGGGAUAACUUCGGGAAACCGUAGCUAAUACCGGAUAAUAUUUUGAACCGCAUGGUUCAAAAGUGAAAGACGGUCUUGCUGUCACUUAUAGAUGGAUCCGCGCUGCAUUAGCUAGUUGGUAAGGUAACGGCCUACCAAGGCAACGAUGCAUAGCCGACCUGAGAGGGUGAUCGGCCACACUGGAACUGAGACACGGUCCAGACUCCUACGGGAGGCAGCAGUAGGGAAUCUUCCGCAAUGGGCGAAAGCCUGACGGAGCAACGCCGCGUGAGUGAUGAAGGUCUUCGGAUCGUAAAACUCUGUUAUUAGGGAAGGACAUAUGUGUAAGUAACUGUGCACAUCUUGACGGUACCUAAUCAGAAAGCCACGGCUAACUACGUG